rnacentral:rRNA from 1 species
AUGAACGCUAGCGACAGGCUUAACACAUGCAAGUCGAGGGGCAGCACAGGUAGCAAUACCGGGUGGCGACCGGCGCACGGGUGAGUAACGCGUAUGCAACUUGCCUAUCAGAGGGGGAUAACCCGGCGAAAGUCGGACUAAUACCGCAUGAAGCAGGGGCCCCGCAUGGGGAUAUUUGCUAAAGAUUCAUCGCUGAUAGAUAGGCAUGCGUUCCAUUAGGCAGUUGGCGGGGUAACGGCCCACCAAACCGACGAUGGAUAGGGGUUCUGAGAGGAAGGUCCCCCACAUUGGUACUGAGACACGGACCAAACUCCUACGGGAGGCAGCAGUGAGGAAUAUUGGUCAAUGGCCGAGAGGCUGAACCAGCCAAGUCGCGUGAGGGAUGAAGGUUCUAUGGAUCGUAAACCUCUUUUAUAAGGGAAUAAAGUGCAGGACGUGUCCCGUUUUGUAUGUACCUUAUGAAUAAGGAUCGGCUAACUCCGUGCCAGCAGCCGCGGUAAUACGGAGGAUCCGAGCGUUAUCCGGAUUUAUUGGGUUUAAAGGGUGCGUAGGCGGCCUUUUAAGUCAGCGGUGAAAGUCUGUGGCUCAACCAUAGAAUUGCCGUUGAAACUGGGGGGCUUGAGUAUGUUUGAGGCAGGCGGAAUGCGUGGUGUAGCGGUGAAAUGCAUAGAUAUCACGCAGAACCCCGAUUGCGAAGGCAGCCUGCCAAGCCAUGACUGACGCUGAUGCACGAAAGCGUGGGGAUCAAACAGGAUUAGAUACCCUGGUAGUCCACGCAGUAAACGAUGAUCACUAGCUGUUUGCGAUACACAGUAAGCGGCACAGCGAAAGCGUUAAGUGAUCCACCUGGGGAGUACGCCGGCAACGGUGAAACUCAAAGGAAUUGACGGGGGCCCGCACAAGCGGAGGAACAUGUGGUUUAAUUCGAUGAUACGCGAGGAACCUUACCCGGGUUUGAACGCAUUCGGACCGAGGUGGAAACACCUUUUCUAGCAAUAGCCGUUUGCGAGGUGCUGCAUGGUUGUCGUCAGCUCGUGCCGUGAGGUGUCGGCUUAAGUGCCAUAACGAGCGCAACCCUUGCCACUAGUUACUAACAGGUGAUGCUGAGGACUCUGGUGGGACUGCCAGCGUAAGCUGCGAGGAAGGCGGGGAUGACGUCAAAUCAGCACGGCCCUUACAUCCGGGGCGACACACGUGUUACAAUGGCGUGGACAAAGGGAGGCCACCUGGCGACAGGGAGCGAAUCCCCAAACCACGUCUCAGUUCGGAUCGGAGUCUGCAACCCGACUCCGUGAAGCUGGAUUCGCUAGUAAUCGCGCAUCAGCCAUGGCGCGGUGAAUACGUUCCCGGGCCUUGUACACACCGCCCGUCAAGCCAUGGGAGCCGGGGGUACCUGAAGUCCGUAACCGCGAGGAUCGGCCUAGGGUAAAACUGGUGACUGGGGCU